CAUGUUUGGUACUUUUGUAAUAGGUGCAUAGUCAUUCAAUCGGCAAAGCUUUGAUCACAUUGGAGACACUCAAAAUCCUUAUGAGCAAGCAAUAUCUAUCAUUUGAAGAGCAUUAAGGUUUUUUUUUUAUGAGGAUGAUUUGAUACCCUGUUUCAGAUUUGGAGAUGACAGUUUCUUAUGAUCAUAUGCUUUCAUGGGUUGUUUAGUAGCUGACUCUAUCUUGAUUACACACUAACGUUCUCUUUUCUAUAUUUUGGCAACAUCAAUAUAUGAUCAAGAUGUCUUUAAUUACUAUCCUGAUGAGAGACACUGAUGGAUUAGAGAAAGCUUUGACUCCAACAAAGAAAUAGUCCCCGUCUACCGUUGGCAGGUUAAACUUUUUCUAUUGCAUUAUUUUUGCUUUGAAGAAGAUAUCAAUCUGGUAGAUGAUUGUCAGCUUCGUUAUAAUUGGACCAACAUCAUUUGCUCCCAUUGUUAAAAUGGCUAUGACUAUUGUCGACCAAAGCGGUGGUCAGUGCCAUGUUUUAUUGAUAAUAGCUGAUGGGCAGGUAACUUUUUGUUUGGUCCAGUUCUCAUUUUUAGUAUAAUGAAGAACUAUUAUUCUGUAGAAAUAUUAUUUUAGCUUCAACUUUGAUCAUGAGUGCAUUACAUUGUGGCCAUAAGCUACUAUGCCAUAUGUUGGUUCUACCACUGUAGUGUAUGUAUGGUGGAAUACAAAAUUUUGCUUUCAUCCACUUAUCAUGUUUCAGUUAUUGGCAAUUCUUAUUUUACAUUUUUUUUUUUUGGUUCUCAGAUUUUAUUCUUUUUUGGAUUCUCGGAUAGGAUUUUUUUUCCAUAGUCCUCAUAAUUUUGUAAUGAUGUAGAGUUCUUCAUUUUGGCAUUAAAUUGGGUAAUCAUAAUAUUAAUUUCUUGUGUGAAAGAUAUAAAUCAUUGUAUUUAGAAACUGGAUCUAAUAUAUCAUGCCAUUUUUCAUUAUAAAGAAGCCUUGCUCCCUCCCCCUCUCUUUUAUGGUUUGAGAUAACUCAUGAACUUUUCCUUGUUGUUCUUAAGAAUGGACUCUCUAUGAGAUAUUAAGAUAUGCACCCCAACACAAUUGGACUGCUUAUGAGGAAGCUCUGAAAACAAACCCUCUUUUGGCCAAAAUGAGCACUUCGGGUGUGGGUAGUUAUUUCAAGCCUCAAAAGGAUGGUGGUUCGAAUCCACCAAGUCCCUUGUCUAUAUUUUCAUUUUAAUUUUACUGAUAGUGUCAUGGGAAUUGAUACAUAUCAAAUGAAAAGCGAAAAUGUCCUAUAACUUUUAUUUUGACAUAAUGAGUUCUUUGUUGAUAUAUGUAAUGUAUAACAUGAUCUUCAUUUGUCAAGUUAUUUACAUCCUCUAAAUUAUGUUA